rnacentral:rRNA from 1 species
GACAGAGGGUGCAAACGUUGCUCGGAAUCACUGGGCGUAAAGGGCGUGUAGGCGGGACAGUAAGUCGGGCGUGAAAUCCCCGGGCUCAACCUGGGAACUGCAUUUGUGACUGCAUCGCUGGAGUGCGGCAGAGGGGGAUGGAAUUCCGCGUGUAGCAGUGAAAUGCGUAGAUAUGCGGAGGAACACCGAUGGCGAAGGCAAUCCCCUGGGCCUGCACUGACGCUCAUGCACGAAAGCGUGGGAGCAAACAGG